CUCGAUGAACGAACCACUACCACAAGCAAAGAUAAAGUAUCGCCAACGAGUUCACGUCAUUUGUAAAUUUUUCUCCUUUCAAAAGAAACAUAACCUUUCUUUUGGACAAGAACAUAACUUUAUUAAAUCAGAAGCUUCUGUCAACAAAAGUGGACAGAGUGACGUAACACAAUUACAUACUGAGAAUACCAAGUGACUCCAAAAUUAAUAGGAAAAAAGAAAAAAAAACAGCUUUAAAGCAUCUCAAAGAAAUGACAAAUUUUAAACAUAAAAUUUGAAUUUGACAGCCUAUAUUGUAUUUUGACAUCUUUCAAAAUUUUACUCUCUACCCGGUAUAUCAAAUUAAAUACUAUUUUAUUACACUAUUUUCUUUCUUUUUAUUUUAUUAAACUAUUAUUUUAUUCCCCUCUGUCUAGACUUGUCCUAUCAUCUUCGUCACCAUCGAGUCCUUUCUCUCAUCCACCUUCUUCACCUCCUCUCCCUUCUAGUCAUUCACCAUCUUCGUCCUCGAAGUCUUUGAGACGCCUUUCGUCGAACACCUUCAGUGCAGCAACUCGGCCCACCCACCCAUCAUCAAAACCCUCAAUCUGAACCUCCUGAUCGACGACCCAUAACGCAAUUUGUUCAGAUCCAACGGCGGGGACACUGUCGUUGCUAGGUUUGUGCUGUUUUUCCCAAAUUACUCCACCUUUUUGGGGAAGCCAGGGUUUUACAUCAACACCCUGCAUAUUGCUACUCAAAACUACUAUCCAUCCACCACUUGCAACUAAAUACCCAAAUGGCAAAAACCCAGUAACUACCAAAUAUCUCACUUUUUUUACCUUUCCGUUGAAUUUACGAGUAAUGAAUUUUCCCAACCUACCCCACUCCUCUGAAUUUACUCCUCCCCCACUUUCCCAUCAAUUCAAUGCUUCACAUGGCCGCGGCAUGUGGAACCCAUUUGGGAUUCACAUGAUCAUCGACUUCUCGCUUUCUCUGAUGAGAUCGUUCCAGAUUUGUGUGAAUGAUCGGAUGAUAACAUCGUGAUGGGAUGCAGAGUUGAGCUCCAGAAAGUAGCUGAGCAGCUCCUGCAGAUGGUCCUUCGAGUAAAUUGCUAUAAAGGAAGGGGCUGGGGAAGAUGUUGCUCUUAGCGGUGGCGAAGCAGGCGGUGAAGAUGGGGUAUGGCAGAGUGGACAAGUUGCGCUUCUCAGUGACAGCAAAAGAGAGAGUUGCUAUUCCAUGUCAUGCCACAUCAGAUUUGGCUUCUCGAUUGGAAAACAGUACAAUUGUCUUUUUAUUUUUAUUUUUAUUAUUACUAUUAUUGUUGAGUUAGACAUUGAAGAUGCUCUAAACAAAAACAUCACACUAUAAUUACCCUGAUUGUAAUCAUCAACAAAGAGCUACUCCUCAUUCCAAAUAAUUGGCAAGAAAUUAAGGACAUUUUUUUCAACUUUCCACUCCACAUCUUCACUUUUCUCAAAUAUCACCCUAUUUCCUUCCUUCUGAAUAAGUGUUGCGGAACCAAAGUGAAGGCUUUCCUAAAUCAAUGGGUGCUUUAGUCUUUUAAUCUCUCGGGUUUUAGUAUUUAAAUAUUUAGAUUUUGUUUUUUGGUGAAGAAAUAUUUAGAUUUUUAGUCGUUUGAUUUCCUAUUUAUACGAGGAUUAAGAUUAUUUCCAGUUUGAUUAGGAUUAGAUUUAGUUUCCUAUCCUAUUUUGGAUUCGGAUUUCUUUCCUAAAAUAAGUUUACUUUCCCGUGCUCAUUAGGUUGAAGAAGAUGUUGACCCUAUACCCUUUGUCUACCAACACACGGUUGACUAAGGCAUUAGAGAUUUGUUUAUGACCAAUGCAUCGUCGUGAGGGGAGUAGACACCUUCCACAUCCCAAUAUGAGAACAUUAGGAUGUUAGAAUUGAUGGGAAAGGUUUGUUAAUGGUCGCCAUCAUCUUGAGCUUAUUGCAUGCGGCUUUUCUUUAUUUCCUAGUUUUUCCCAUGUGUUCCUUCUCCUGUAGAUCCAGUUAACGUUGAGUAUAGGACUUUCCACCGAACCUUGGUUUUCAGAAGAUUUUGGUGUCUUUGUGGACUUCUUGCGUGAUGCUUUUGGAGUGGGGUGGCGACACUUUGCACCAAAGCCCAGAACAUUGGUUCUUGCUUGGGUCUGAACAUGAUAUCUUCCACAACUUGCACCCGUCUCUCAAGGUCAGUGAUCCUUCCUCAUUGUUUGGUUAUUGAUGUCAUGCGAAGCAUGUCGACUGAAGCAUAUACUUGCGACAAACUUUGCCAAAUUUUGUCCAUGGCGAGAAUGUCCCCGUCUUCAAAGAAGGUGUCACGUCCAGUGGUGGUGCAGGUGUAGCAUGUCUGUCAAAGCCUCAAGCAGUGGACAAGAGAAUAGAUAUGUAGUAUAAGACUCAAGUAGUAGGUAAGAGAAUAUGUAUGCUAUUGUGUUACAUGAGAUGAAUCCUAAAAGGUUGUAUUUAUACCAAUCGAAGACAGGAUGUUUUAGGAUAGUAGAAUCCUUACUAAAUUGAGAGAAUACUAGAGGAUAUAUAUGAAUAGAUACUGAGUCUAAUUA